GAUGAACGCUGGCGGCGUGCCUAAUACAUGCAAGUCGAGCGAACGGACGAGAAGCUUGCUUCUCUGAUGUUAGCGGCGGACGGGUGAGUAACACGUGGAUAACCUACCUAUAAGACUGGGAUAACUUCGGGAAACCGGAGCUAAUACCGGAUAAUAUUUUGAACCGCAUGGUUCAAAAGUGAAAGACGGUCUUGCUGUCACUUAUAGAUGGAUCCGCGCUGCAUUAGCUAGUUGGUAAGGUAACGGCUUACCAAGGCAACGAUGCAUAGCCGACCUGAGAGGGUGAUCGGCCACACUGGAACUGAGACACGGUCCAGACUCCUACGGGAGGCAGCAGUAGGGAAUCUUCCGCAAUGGGCGAAAGCCUGACGGAGCAACGCCGCGUGAGUGAUGGAGGUCUUCGGACCGUAAAACUCUGUUAUUAGGGAAGAACAUAUGUGUAAGUAACUGUGCACAUCUUGACGGUACCUAAUCAGAAAGCCACGGCUAACUACGUG
rnacentral:rRNA from 1 species